GAAGACUAAUCAGCUAUGUGUGGAGAC
rnacentral:piRNA from 1 species